AUGGUUGAACUCAAUGAUUUUUCCAUCACAAAUCUGAAAUUUCUUCUUCUAUGCUUUGAAGCUUUAUCGGGCCUUAAAAUCAACUUCUCUAAGAGCGUGGCUAUUGUGACUGGGGUACCUGCUGUGGAGGCGCAGCAGGUGGCUGACCUUCUGAACUGCUCUCUCGGGUCGUUCCCUCUUAAAUAUUUGGGCUUACCCAUUUCCCCUCUGAAGCUGUUGGCUAAGGACUUUGCGCCGGCUGUGACUAAAGUUGGCAAUAGAGUUCUGCCGUGGCGAGGUCGGUACAAUUCCCACGCGGGCAAGGUUUCCCUCACCAAGUCCUGCCUUUCCUCGCUCCUGAUGUUUCUAAUGGGAUUCUACCUGCUGUCCGAAGGGACACACUCGGGCUUCGAUAAGCACAGGGGUGCCUUCUUCUGGAAUUCUUCCGAUAAUAAACGCAAGUAUAGGAUGGUUAAGUGGGAUCUCAUCUAUAGACCCAAGAACAUGGGGGGUCUUGGUAUCAUAAACACCAGAAUCGUGAAUAAAUGCCUUUUGCUAAAAUGGUGGUGG
rnacentral:rRNA from 1 species